rnacentral:rRNA from 2 species
AGAUUAAGUUAUUAAGGGCGCACGGUGGAUGCCUUGGCACUAGAAGCCGAAGAAGGACGUUACUAACGACGAUAUGCUUUGGGGAGCUGUAAGUAAGCGUUGAUCCAGAGAUUUCCGAAUGGGGAAACCCAACAUGAGUUAUGUCAUGUUAUCGAUAUGUGAAUACAUAGCAUAUCAGAAGGCAGACCCGGAGAACUGAAACAUCUUAGUACCCGGAGGAAGAGAAAGAAAAAUCGAUUCCCUGAGUAGCGGCGAGCGAAACGGGAAGAGCCCAAACCAACAAGCUUGCUUGUUGGGGUUGUAGGACACUCUAUACGGAGUUACAAAAGUAUAUAUUAGACGAAUCAUCUGGAAAGUUGAAUCAAAGAAGGUAAUAAUCCUGUAGUCGAAAAUAUAUACUCUCUUGAGUGGAUCCUGAGUACGACGGAGCACGUGAAAUUCCGUCGGAAUCUGGGAGGACCAUCUCCUAAGGCUAAAUACUCUCUAGUGACCGAUAGUGAACCAGUACCGUGAGGGAAAGGUGAAAAGUACCCCGGAAGGGGAGUGAAAGAGAACUUGAAACCGUGUGCUUACAAGUAGUCAGAGCCCGUUAAUGGGUGAUGGCGUGCCUUUUGUAGAAUGAACCGGCGAGUUACGAUUUGAUGCAAGGUUAAGCAGUGAAUGUGGAGCCGUAGCGAAAGCGAGUCUGAAUAGGGCGUUGAGUAUUUGGUCGUAGACCCGAAACCAGGUGAUCUACCCUUGGUCAGGUUGAAGUUCAGGUAACACUGAAUGGAGGACCGAACCGACUUACGUUGAAAAGUGAGCGGAUGAACUGAGGGUAGCGGAGAAAUUCCAAUCGAACCUGGAGAUAGCUGGUUCUCUCCGAAAUAGCUUUAGGGCUAGCCUCAAGUGAUGAUUAUUGGAGGUAGAGCACUGUUUGGACGAGGGGCCCUUCUCGGGUUACCGAAUUCAGACAAACUCCGAAUGCCAAUCAAUUUAACUUGGGAGUCAGAACAUGGGUGAUAAGGUCCGUGUUCGAAAGGGAAACAGCCCAGACCACCAGCUAAGGUCCCAAAAUAUAUGUUAAGUGGAAAAGGAUGUGGCGUUGCCCAGACAACUAGGAUGUUGGCUUAGAAGCAGCCAUCAUUUAAAGAGUGCGUAAUAGCUCACUAGUCGAGUGACACUGCGCCGAAAAUGUACCGGGGCUAAACAUAUUACCGAAGCUGUGGAUUGUCCGUAGGACAAUGGUAGGAGAGCGUUCUAAGGGCGUUGAAGCAUGAUCGCAAGGACAUGUGGAGCGCUUAGAAGUGAGAAUGCCGGUGUGAGUAGCGAAAGACGGGUGAGAAUCCCGUCCACCGAUUGACUAAGGUUUCCAGAGGAAGGCUCGUCCGCUCUGGGUUAGUCGGGUCCUAAGCUGAGGCCGACAGGCGUAGGCGAUGGAUAACAGGUUGAUAUUCCUGUACCACCUAGUAUCGUUUUAAUCGAUGGGGGGACGCAGUAGGAUAGGCGAAGCGUGCUAUUGGAUUGCACGUCCAAGCAGUAAGACUGAGUGUUAGGCAAAUCCGGCACUCAUAAGGUCAAGCUGUGAUGGGGAGAGGAAAUUGUUUCCUCGAGUCGUUGAUUUCACACUGCCAAGAAAAGCCUCUAGAUAGAUAACAGGUGCCCGUACCGCAAACCGACACAGGUAGUCAAGAUGAGAAUUCUAAGGUGAGCGAGCGAACUCUCGUUAAGGAACUCGGCAAAAUGACCCCGUAACUUCGGGAGAAGGGGUGCUCUUUAGGGUUAACGCCCAGAAGAGCCGCAGUGAAUAGGCCCAAGCGACUGUUUAUCAAAAACACAGGUCUCUGCUAAACCGUAAGGUGAUGUAUAGGGGCUGACGCCUGCCCGGUGCUGGAAGGUUAAGAGGAGUAGUUAGCUUCUGCGAAGCUACGAAUCGAAGCCCCAGUAAACGGCGGCCGUAACUAUAACGGUCCUAAGGUAGCGAAAUUCCUUGUCGGGUAAGUUCCGACCCGCACGAAAGGCGUAACGAUUUGGGCACUGUCUCAACGAGAGACUCGGUGAAAUCAUAGUACCUGUGAAGAUGCAGGUUACCCGCGACAGGACGGAAAGACCCCGUGGAGCUUUACUGUAGCCUGAUAUUGAAAUUCGGCACAGCUUGUACAGGAUAGGUAGGAGCCUUUGAAACGUGAGCGCUAGCUUACGUGGAGGCAUUGGUGGGAUACUACCCUAGCUGUGUUGGCUUUCUAACCCGCACCACUUAUCGUGGUGGGAGACAGUGUCAGGUGGGCAGUUUGACUGGGGCGGUCGCCUCCUAAAAGGUAACGGAGGCGCUCAAAGGUUCCCUCAGAAUGGUUGGAAAUCAUUCAUAGAGUGUAAAGGCAUAAGGGAGCUUGACUGCGAGACUUACAAGUCGAGCAGGGUCGAAAGACGGACUUAGUGAUCCGGUGGUUCCGCAUGGAAGGGCCAUCGCUCAACGGAUAAAAGCUACCCCGGGGAUAACAGGCUUAUCUCCCCCAAGAGUUCACAUCGACGGGGAGGUUUGGCACCUCGAUGUCGGCUCAUCGCAUCCUGGGGCUGUAGUCGGUCCCAAGGGUUGGGCUGUUCGCCCAUUAAAGCGGUACGCGAGCUGGGUUCAGAACGUCGUGAGACAGUUCGGUCCCUAUCCGUCGUGGGCGUAGGAAAUUUGAGAGGAGCUGUCCUUAGUACGAGAGGACCGGGAUGGACAUACCUCUGGUGUACCAGUUGUCGUGCCAACGGCAUAGCUGGGUAGCUAUGUAUGGACGGGAUAAGUGCUGAAAGCAUCUAAGCAUGAAGCCCCCCUCAAGAUGAGAUUUCCCAACUUCGGUUAUAAGAUCCCUCAAAGAUGAUGAGGUUAAUAGGUUCGAGGUGGAAGCGUGGUGACACGUGGAGCUGACGAAUACUAAUCGAUCGAAGACUUAAUCAAUUU